CCAGGCCCCCCUUGCCCUGUAACCACGGUAACAACCCACGUGUCAACUGUUACGGAAACCACCACUCCAGGGAGGACAAGCUCAGCUACAGCCUCCACAACGGCCUCAAUGAUUACAACAGCAAAACUGACCUCAACAAUGACCCCAGCGAUGACCUCAGCCACGACGUCAACCACGAUCUCAGCCACGACCUCAACCACGGACACAACAGCAACCACAAAAGUUGUGACCACGACUGCUCAGAAUACAAACAGUGCCACCACAGCAAAGUUGAUCUCAACAGUGACCCCAACCACAACUUCAACCACAACCUCAACCACAGACAUGACACCAACCACAAAAGAUGUGACCACGACUGCUCAGAAUACAAACAGUGCCACCACAGCAAAGUUGAUCUCAACAGUGACCCCAACCACAACUUCAACCACAACCUCAACCACAGACAUGACACCAACCACAAAAGAUGUGACCACGACUGCUCAGAAUACAAACAGUGCCACCACAGCAAAGUUGAUCUCAACAGUGACCCCAACCACAACUUCAACUUCAUCCUCAACCACGGACACCACACCAACCACA